rnacentral:rRNA from 1 species
GACGAACGCUGGCGGCGUGCUUAACACAUGCAAGUCGAACGGAAAGACCCUGCUUUUGUGGGGUGCUCGAGUGGCGAACGGGUGAGUAACACGUGAGUAACCUGCCCUUGACUUUGGGAUAACUUCAGGAAACUGGGGCUAAUACCGGAUAGGAGCUCCUGCUGCAUGGUGGGGGUUGGAAAGUUUCGGCGGUUGGGGAUGGACUCGCGGCUUAUCAGCUUGUUGGUGGGGUAGUGGCUUACCAAGGCUUUGACGGGUAGCCGGCCUGAGAGGGUGACCGGCCACAUUGGGACUGAGAUACGGCCCAGACUCCUACGGGAGGCAGCAGUGGGGAAUAUUGCACAAUGGGCGGAAGCCUGAUGCAGCAACGCCGCGUGCGGGAUGACGGCCUUCGGGUUGUAAACCGCUUUCGCCUGUGGCGAAGCGUGAGUGACGGUAAUGGGUAAAGAAGCACCAGCUAACUACGUG